rnacentral:misc_RNA from 1 species
UUUCCGUAGGUGAACCUGCGGAAGGAUCAUUCAUAAUAAAGUGGUUUAUGGCACUUUUUAAAAAUCCAUAUCCACCUUGUGUGCAAUGUUAGAUCUCGUCAAUCUUGGCGAGAUUUUUAUACAUCAACUCAUUCUUUAACUAAUUUGUCUGAAAAAUAUUAUGAAUACUUAAUUCAAAAUACAACUUUCAACAACGGAUCUCUUGGCUCUC